GACGAACGCUGGCGGCGUGCCUAAUACAUGCAAGUAGAACGCAGUUACGAACGGGUGAGUAACGCGUAGUUAACUGCCUCAUAGCGGCGGAUAACGGUUGGAAACGAUAGCUAAUACCUCAUACUUUGAGAUGGACCUGCGUUGGAUUCGCUAGUUGGUGAGGUAAAGGCUCAACAAGGCGACGACCCAUGGCCGACCUCAGAGGGGGAUCGGACAAACCGGGACUGGGACAAGGCCCAGAAGCCUACGGGAGGCAGCAGUAGGGAAUGUUCGGGAAUGGACGGAAGGCUGGCCCGGCAAAGGCGGGUGAGUGAAGGAGGUUUUUGGAACCGAAAGCUUUGGUGUUUGAGAAGCGGUAACUAACCAGAAAGGGACGGCUAACUACGUGCCAGCAGCCGCGGUAAUAC
rnacentral:rRNA from 1 species